rnacentral:rRNA from 1 species
AACGAACGCUGGCGGCAGGCUUAACACAUGCCAGUCGAACGCACCUUUCGGGGUGAGUGGCAGACGGGUGAGUAACGCGUGGGAAUCUACCCUUCUCUACGGGAUAGCUCCGGGAAACUGGAAUUAAUACCGUAUACGUCCUGAGGGAGAAAGAUUUAUCGGGGAAGGAUGAGCCCGCGUUGGAUUAGCUAGUUGGUGGGGUAAAGGCCUGCCAAGGCGACGAUCCAUAGCUGGUCUAAGAGGAUGGUCAGCCACAUUGGGACUGAGACACGGCCCAAACUCCUACGGGAGGCAGCAGUGGGGAAUAUUGGACAAUGGGCGCAAGCCUGAUCCAGCCAUGCCGCGUGAGUGAUGAAGGCCCGAGGGUUGUAAAGCUCUUUCAGUGGGGACGAUAAUGACGGUACCCACAGAAGAAGCCCCGGCUAACUUCGUG